UCCGGUUUGACACCGGCAGUCUCGCUAGAGUACUCGCCAUUACGCGUGAGCAACUAACGAUAGGGGUUGCGCUCGUUAGGGGACUUAACCCGACACUUCACAGCACGAGCUGACGACAGCCAUGCAGCACCUGUGAUCGUUCCACCCUUGCGGGUGUGGCUCCUGUUUCCAGGAGUUAAUCCGACCAUGUCAAACCCAGGUAAGGUUCUUCGCGUUGCCUCGAAUUAAGCAACAUGCUCCACCGCUUGUGUGAGCCCCCGUCAAUUCCUUUGAGUUUUAGCCUUGCGACCGUACUCCCCAGGCGGUACGCUUAUCGUUUUUACUUCGACCGAUCCGGCGUCAGAGCCGCACCGAUCUAGCGUACAUCGUUUACGGCGUGGACUAC
rnacentral:misc_RNA from 1 species